AGGAAAGACACAGGAAGGGGAGGAAAUGAAAGACAACAAGGCACGGUGCUAAUUGAUGGAGGAAGGUUUUAGGAGAAACGGAGGAGAUGGUGUCACUGAGGAAGACUUUAUGAGGGCAGUGACCGUGGUGUGGAAGGUGGUAAGUUUUACAGGCAAGGCACACAGUUGGUAGAAAGGUAGGGAGGUGUUAUAGGAAUAUAUUAAUCUUUAAGAAUAGAAUAUUUGUAGGAGUUAAAAAAAAUUAGGGGCACCUGAGUCGCUCAGUUGGUUAAAUGUCUGCCUUCAGCUCAGGCCAUGAUCCCGGGACCCUGGGAUCGAGCCUCAUGUUGGGCUCCCUGCUCGGUGGGGAGCCUACUUCUCCCUCUCCCUCUCCCUCUGCUACUCCCCCUGCUUGUGCUCUCUCCCUCUUUCUCUCUCUCCCAAAUAAAUAAAAUCUUUAAAAGAAAUUAGCAAACCAUUCCCUUCCACAGAAAGCAAUCUGCAAAAUCCCAUACUUACCAUAAUAUACAGUUAUAUUCAGUAGCAUUUUGGAGAUGUGUAUAUACAAGAACAGAACAUAUUAGUCAUUAUGUUUUCAUGCUAAAUUUUUAUUUCAAUGUUAUGCAACUGCAUAAGUAUAAAUAUUUGUUCAAUAUACAACAAUUAUGACAUCCAUAGGGAAUUUCUUAGAGAAAAUAAGACUGCAAACACUUUAUUGCACAGAUCCUAACAAACUUUUAAGCUGGUAAAUCUACAGCUGGGAGUAAUACCGAGGAGCACAUCUUACAAUCACAGGAGACUGACCAAAUAGAACACAGGAGAAUUUCUACCAGCUGAUUGGAGAGGUUUACAACAACAAACAGGUAUUACAUGAAUGCAACCUUAAGUACUCUUUACUCAUCCAAAAUGCAAAAACAUAUUUGGCAAAAAUGGUAAUACACUAUACAAAAUAUACAUAAAAAUAUCAUUUGUAAACAAGCAGCUAGUUGUGCUUUAAAGGAAACGGGACAGUUAAAAAGCAAAGGCUGUAAACCAUGAACUACCUCCCCGAUAGACCUGUCGUGAUGUCUGAGUACAGAGGAUGGGGUUAUGACAACCACCCAACACAGAUACGAAUUAUAAAUGUCGAGACCACUUUGGAAACCGAUUUAACUUUUUUUACGGUAUUUGUUUCUUCUGCAAUUUCACAAUGUAGUGAUGGGGUAUAGCUAAAAUCACAUGGGAAAAAAUCAUGGGCAAGGAGACUUUUUUUUUUUUUUUUUUUUUUUUUGCCAUUGCCAACUCAUUGUACAAUGAAGGACAACCAAGUAGAUGGUUAAGUUAUGUUUUUGUUUUUGGAGCAGAGCAGGGUUUACAGCCUCGCUAAAUAAUUUACACUCCACGGGCUGUGCUUAGAUGAACAAUUUUAUAGCUUGAAGAUACUAAGACCUCCGAGGGGGUUUGGGUGCUAAGUGAGUAUUUAUUGAUAAGUUUUUUCCCCUCUUAAAAAACAAAACUAAAAAAAUCCUGCUAUGGAUCCCAAACAUCUUAUAAAGACUUAUCUGUGUGUAUUUCCUCUUAGUGCCUUAGUACUGGUGUCAGCAAGUGUCAUCUUACAAUACAAAACAAGCCACCAGGACAACUGCAACAAAAACGAACAAAAAACCCCCCUCAGCACUAAAAUGAUUUGACGAAUUCUACAUAUUCCAUGGUAUACAAAAUUUAAAUAAGGCUUAGCAAAAGUAAAAAGGACACAUUCAAGCACCAAAUAGCUCCACCAAGUCUUUUUGUUAAAAAAUGCUGCUCUUUAUUAAUACAGUAUUUUUUUUGCAUACAAAUAAAGAGAUCAUGUUAUGUAAUGUAUGGAGCUACUCGAUGCGUCAGAAAUGAAUGUGAAACCCAGGAACUUGCUAAAAACAGCAAGCUUCAUCUACAACAUAAGGCCCCAGCUAUGUAUUAAAAUGUAUCUGAUGUCCUGAUUAUUCAUUAAUAUAUAUGCUAUGAUGCCAAAAUCCACCCCCGUUUUCCCUCAAAAAAAAAAAAAAAAAAAAAAAAGAAAAAAAAGCAAAUUUAAAACCUCUUCCAAUGCCUGACGCUUCUUAACUCAAUUUAAUACUAUCAGAUUUGUGUGCGGCCAGUGAUUUUUCCUUUUUGUUCAAGAGCAGGGCUGGUGCAAAACUACUACAAAAUGUGUGCUUCUGGACUAGUGACUCAUAGCAUACAGGCCUGAGUUUAAGAGCAUGAAAAGAAGGGAAAGUAACAAAAAUAAAGUUGACGUGUGUUUAUAGCCCCCACGACAGCCAGGGUGAAGACCCUGCACAUCCCCCCCUACGGACAAGGACAACGGGCCUUCCAGACAGUUGGACCCCGGAUCAGAACGUCCACUCGGAUGGCUGUGAAGUGAAAAUGGUUAGCUCCACUGGUUCCGGCCAUUCCUAACGGAGGAAGGUUCCAAACGCCACGAUCAGAGUAGCUCUCGCUCUAAGAUCUGGAAACACAGGUGGCCAGAUACAGCGACUAUCAAAAUCUCUCUUUAAAGACACACACACAGACUCACGAUCUACUGCAGCUAGGGCUUCCGUUCCUCUUUAACUCUACUCGGAAUCUUUUAACUUAGAAAAACGUAGCCUUGAAAUCUCCUCCUAGAUCACAGGCCAAAACAUGUGGCUGGAUGCGUAUAUACACAGACAGGAGUGUAGCCAGACUUUUCCAUUUUCCAUACACCCGAUUUUAACCGCUGUGGCUUCCUUACUAGGUUAGGAUCAAGUGGUAAAGCAAAAAUCUUAACUGGAAGAAAGAAAAGAAAAACACCCACCAAGAAAGAAAAGAAAGAAAGAAAUUAAGGAAAGAAAGAAAAAAAAAAAAA
rnacentral:lncRNA from 1 species